ensembl:lncRNA
GAUCACUUCUCUUGGAGCCCUUCUGCGAGCAUAGGAUAUGGUUUUUAUUGAUGUAAAUCCAGGCGUGGGGCCUCCAAAAAAGAAGAACAUGGAGCUGCUGGAGUGAGUCUAUAGGAAGGUCUCCAAGUUCAGCAGAUCUUCCUGUGUGCAUCUUCAGGCUUUGGACAAGCAUGGGUCUUUUCUUGCUUUGAGAACCUCAUCCUCCUUACAGAAGUGCUGACCGAGUGCAGUUCGGUGUACUCUUUACAGCAGGAGGCACUGUGACAGUUUAGGACAUUGCUCCUUAAUGUAAUUUGAAAUGAAAGAGAUCACUCUCUC